rnacentral:lncRNA from 1 species
GCCCUGCCUAAGCGUCCCCGCUACCACAGUAACCGAAGCCACGCCCAGUUCCUGAACCACGUCGGCUCCCCUCCCCCAACACCGUUCGGAAUCCUUGGGUCAACCGCCUCCGUCUCCACAGCAACGGAGUUUCAGAGCGCGCGGCAGCUUGGGGGCGGGGUUCCCAGUCCCCCGGUCAAAUUUUAGGACUUUUCAGCAGGAAAGCUGCACAACUGGAGGAGGGCAGGACGAGGCUGGCCUCGCAGGUCGGGCUACGUUCUUCUACGGUCUGAGGCGUUGUCUAGAAACUCAAAAUCUCUGGAAUCCCAUCCAGGACUCCUCCAUCAAGAUUUCUUCCGAUCCUGAGUAACCAAGAUUGGAAUACUGACCCCUUCAGGAGGCAGCCCAUGCCGUUUUUUCCCAACCGCUCUAAUCUGCCCCAAAUGCUUCCUUAUAUGAAUCCAAAUUUGUCUCUCCUUGACCUCUACCCUCUGCACUGUUUCAGCCUCCGCCUCUGGGGCCUUACUAAACAAGUCCAAUCACCCUUCCACGUGACCCCUUAUCUAACUGUAGGUGGGAUUAAUGUACUUAUCUGCCCAAACAGCUCCAGUCCUUUAAACUGCCUUUUAUUGAUUGUGAGACAAAUUUGAGGACACCCUGGGGCAGAGCGCAACCAAAGGUGCCUUGCGGUCUCAUUAGUCAUAUGGAAUUCAGCACUGACCAGGGCUUAACUAGCCAUUAAGGCCCUGCACUUUGCCUAGAGGAGCCCACCCAGGAUACUACAUUACAUUCAGAUGUCAUGUCUCCUUAGGCUCCUGCAGACUGACAAUUUCUCAAACUUUGUUUUUGAUGACUUUGACAAUUUUGAGGUGGUAUGAUAAUUUGUGAAGUGUUUCUCAUGCUUAGCCUGGAGUUACAAGGUUGGAGAAAAAGACCAAAGAUGUGAAGUGCCAUUCUCAUCACAUCAUGUCAAGGGUACAUGCUGUUAACAUGAAUUAACAUCGAUGAUGUUAACCUUGAUGUCCUGGCUGAGAUGAACUCUCUUGGAUAGAAGGAUUCAAACAGAAAAAUGCAAAAAGAAGUCAGAUGGAAAACUCUGGAAAAUCCAAGAAGGGAGCUAGUUGAUGAUGAGCAAAGCCACAUGUGCUGUCUUGACAGCCAUAGAGAAGAAUGGAGGCCUCCAUACCUGAGUGGAAAGAGAAGAACAUGGGCAAUGAUUUUGUCUCUACAAAACAACAACAACAACAGACAAACAAAAUUAGCUGAGUGUGGUG